AUUGAACGCUGGCGGCAGGCCUAACACAUGCAAGUCGAGCGGAUGAAGGGAGCUUGCUCCUGGAUUCAGCGGCGGACGGGUGAGUAAUGCCUAGGAAUCUGCCUGGUAGUGGGGGAUAACGUCCGGAAACGGGCGCUAAUACCGCAUACGUCCUGAGGGAGAAAGUGGGGGAUCUUCGGACCUCACGCUAUCAGAUGAGCCUAGGUCGGAUUAGCUAGUUGGUGGGGUAAAGGCCUACCAAGGCGACGAUCCGUAACUGGUCUGAGAGGAUGAUCAGUCACACUGGAACUGAGACACGGUCCAGACACCUACGGGAGGCAGCAGUGGGGAAUAUUGGACAAUGGGCGAAAGCCUGAUCCAGCCAUGCCGCGUGUGUGAAGAAGGUCUUCGGAUUGUAAAGCACUUUAAGUUGGGGGGAAGGGCAGUAAGUUAAUACCUUGCUGUUUUGACGUUACCAACAGAAUAAGCACCGGCUAACUUCGUG
rnacentral:rRNA from 1 species